rnacentral:lncRNA from 1 species
UUGUACACUCUUGUGCCAACUGCUUUGAUAGUAACAAAAUGUAUUUCUCGAACUCCUAGGUAUAAAACUCAAGUAUCCACUAUUUAAAUUCUUUUUUGCUCACUUCUAGUAUGUUUCCAGUCUCAAUAGAAAUCGAUGCCAAUCCAGAAAUACAAGCAUUAUUCUAAUACUUCUCACACAUUACUGCAGGAGUGAGGACACAGCGAAAGUGAGACAAGGAAAAGAGAACAAAAUAAAACAGGAAAGACAGAAAAGCCAAUACCACACGUGUUAAGAGUUUCAAGGAAAAUAUGUUGGGAGUUCCUGGCAUAGAGAAUGUCACAAAGACAUGUUUUCAAUAGUAGUGCUAUCCCGAGGGCAGAGAAGACCCAGAGAAAGCCCAAGUGGCUGCUGGAACAAAAUCAGACACCGUGCCACCUGUCCACACUCCUUGGCUCUGCCAUCAUGCUGAAGAUCGCUUUAAAGGACUGGCUUCCCUCCCCCCAAAAUUAAAAGAGCACAGACUGAGAAACUGAAUGUGGGAGACAGCAGUGGAUUAUGCUGUUCUCAGGGGUCACCUCAGGUUUGGAAGCAUUCUUUCAAAUUAACCCAUCUCAGGCCAUCUGCAGAGAAGAAAGGUGGUACCUAACUUUUUUUCUUGUCGGCAUUUGGUAGGGGUGUUUUAUUGACCAAAUAUGUUCCCACAACCUAGUUUUUUGUGACUAACUAAAUAUAGUAGAGUUUUAAAUUUUAUCAUCAAAAUCUAUAGACAAUUUUUGAUGAAAAUAGACUCCAUCUCUAUGUCCUGCUUUUCUUCUUCUUAUUAAUUACAUUGCUGUAUAAAAGAACAAGACUUCAGCAUCAAGAAUAUCUUGUCUCUUGGCAUUGAAUUUAUACAAGGUGCUCUUUCUUUAAUGCUGUCUCAAAGGACAUAUUUUUACUCAUUAAAAAGGAAGAUCGGAAUCUAGUUGUAUGCACUGCUCCAACAUAUUAAUAAUUAAAAUUAGGAGGUAAAUGUGGUCAAAGCUAUAGAAAGACUGAGAUGUCAUUUAUAUGGAUUACUCUAUAGCACUCUACAAACAGAAAUUGUUAAAUAAUAGUUUAUAUAAAUAUUUUGUAGCAUUUCAAAUAUUUGAGUGCUUGAAGUUUCUCCUCUUCUAUAGUUCAGAUUAUCAAUUUGAAGACUUACUCCGCUAGUUAAUAUGUUUUUAGUCUCGUUUGAGUAUUAUAUAAAAGCAAUUUUCAGUUAAAUGUGUUCCGCUUACAUAAAACGUUACAAAUUAUUGAGGAUUUAAUUACUUAUUCAUGUUCCUGUAAUGUCUUUAGAAGAUUUUCUUAUUAUUACCUAUCAAUAUAUGUAUGCUUUGUCAAAGAAAAAUCAAACAUAUAUAUCAUUGAAAUUGAAACUUUUUAAAAGUACUUA